AUAAGGUAAGAAUAAAAAUUUUCAUUUCAUCCUUAUCCCCUCUGUCUAGAAAAAAUAAAAAAUAAAAAAUCUAUUGAGGCACUAAGAAGAUCCAUCCCUCAAAUUUUCACAGUCAAGUUCCCAGCCUCAUGUUCCAUCGCCUUCACUUCACAUUCUCUACACACACAGUAUAUUCCCAAUCUCCUUCUUCUUCAACAACAAGCAUAUCCAUUCUUUCAUUCUCUCUCUCAUGGCUUCUUCUUCCAUUUCCGCACCAACGCUCACCUUCCCGACGCAGAAGCUUUCCGUUCCGUUCCCCGCACAACGGACGCCCUUGCUCCUCUCGUUCCCAUCGUAACCCCUCUAUUGCUGCCUCGCCUCUUCCUCCUCCGACGACCGCAGUGCCGGCGCCAAACGCAGCGGCUAGGACUCCGUGCUGCACCAGUUCUCCGAGGUCGCCAACCGAGUCGAUUCCUACUGGAAGUCCCUCGGGAACGCCGCCGCUGACGAUCGCGUCCGCGUCGGCUGUGGCGACGAGGAUUGGGAUUAGGAUCGCUGGCGCUGACAUUUCGAGGAAAUCGACGAGCAAGAGCGCCUCCUUUCGAUUUUCAAAUUACACGGAUUUCAAUUUGCGUCUUCUCGCGUGCUUUUACCGAAGUUUUUGUCAUACAGUUGGAGUAUUUCAAAACUCUUGCAUGUUAUACUUAUGUUGGAGAAGGAAAGUUACCUAAUGAUCCUAAAGACCUUCCAUCAGCUGAAGAGGCAUUAUCUGAUCCUUACUUCACUGGCUUGGCGAACAUGACUGUGAACCAUCCACUCAACCCAUUUCAAAACUUGAGUUUGAAUUUGAGAGAAGGAAAUUGACCAAAGAUGAUGUUUGGCCGCCAUAGGACUGUCAUAUGAUGCUGAUUGUGGCCAAGUGGUUUUGCAACUGUUGAGAAGGAUCUUCCUGGGGGCUUGACACCUAUGCUUGGUGAUCGAAAGGUAGAGCAUUUUCUGGGAAUUAAGAGGAAAGCUGAACCAUCAAGCUCGGAUACCCCAAAAAAGCCUAAAUCAUAAUUCCUUGGUCUACUAAUUCUGAAGAGUUGAUUCAGUUACCAAAUGGAAAAAUCUCUUUUGAUUGUAGAAGAAGCAAACUUAUCAUCCAGAUCUUUUUCUGGAAGAGUUAGUGAUGAUAAAGCUAACAGAAGUGGAAGGAAGGUAUGAUUCUUCCUUUUCAACCUCUAUCUCUCACAUUUGAUGAGAUCAAAUAUUCUUUAGACAUGCCAAAGGAAAUGAAAAAGCAAGGAGUUUUUGAGGAAUGUCAAGAACUUUUGAAGGGUGUUAGUGGUGUCUUUAGGCCAAGAGUACUAACAACUCUGAUGGGUGCAAGUGGUUCCGGUAAGACUACAUUAAUGGAUGUUACUUUUGAAGUUGGCAGGGGAGCAAAUAUAUGCUGGUCCAUUACGCCACCACUGUUCUGAUCUGAUUCAGUGCUAUGAGGCGAAUUUAGUGUAAACAAGAUUAACACAUAUAACAUAUGAUGCUUCUGUAGCAUUGGGAAUUUAGCAUAUUCACUAUAGUGCAUGAUUGAUGUAGGCUAUUCAAGGAGUUCCUAAGAUCAAAGAAGGUUAUAAUCCUGCAACCUGGAUGUUGGAAGUUACAUCAGCAGGCAUAGAAGCAUCUCUUAAGGUCAACCUCACCAAUGUGUAUAGAAACUCAGAACUAUACCGACAACUAUUUAUUUUGAUUAUGUCAUUCUCCCUAGCAGUUGAGGCACUUCAUGCAUUCAUACAAGAUGAAUCAGAGCACAAGUGAUUGCUAUUGGUGUCUUUAGUAAUAUGGUGUUAUCCAAUUGGCAAACCUCAUGAGUAGUAGAAGCAGCAGUCAAGAGGGAAAGAACCAUGGCAUAUGCCUUCUCUCAUCAAGUGGGGGGCCUGCUCUAGCCAAGGCCUAGGUAAUUAUGAACUACUUGGCAAAGCUAGUUGGAGUUGGAGCUAGAAGGAUCGUUGGGUUGCUGCACUGCCCACAUUCAAUUAUGUAGAUCAAAUGUUUAUUCAUUCUGCUUCAGAUCUUCGGCCACCGGCAAUUCUCUGUGGAGACUACUUUUAUAAUUAUUUUACUUGUGGUCUGGACAUAUUAUUUGAUGGACAGACUCACAAAAUCAAGAAGUUUGUGUUACACACCAACUUCCCUGGUCAUGCUGAUUUCAAUUCUUACAUUAAGUGCAACUUUGUUGUCUAUGGUUUAGAUUGAAAUACUUGGGGAUUGUGGGCGAGUUGCAAUCCAAACACAAGGCUCAGCAAGUAACCCCUUUGGUUCUACUCUUGUAUAUGGUUAUCAAAAUAUUGCCUUUGAGGUGAUGAAGAAUGGUUAUAUUGCAACAAUAACUCUCUUCCAAUCAUGAUGAUGUUACACUUCUUUUAUUGUGUGUUCUUCUAUGAAAAUUUAUAGCUUAUUCACAUAGCAAGUAAUAACCUUAAUAUUUUUUCUUUAAAUCUCACUUAUUAGUUCAAUCUUAAAAACCCAUAUUUAAUUCCUAACAGUCAGUGUUAUAUCAUUGUCUUCAUUUGUCCAAGCUUCAGUCAUGCUAAACUUUACUUAGUCUCAGGUUUAAAUACUAUGUUUUUAUUCUUUUAUAUAAUAUACUAAGAGAAUCUCUCAAAAAAGAAUAAUAAUCAGUUAGUCUGAGUUCAGUGACAAAAUCAUGAAUGCAAAAUUGCCCUGUCAUGAUCAUGUCAUAUUUAGUUCUUUCCAAAUUUGCUAAUAGCCAUCAUUAAUCAGUUAGUAAAACUCUUCAUUCCCUUUCCUUUGAUAGCAGCUGCCACUGACUCGCCCCAACUCACCAAAACUGUCCCAGAGAAGGAGCUGUGGUGAUGCUGCCGGCAUAUCCCCAGAAAUUUCUACUCGAGGACGUCGCAGUGUUGGCAAUAACCACAAACAUGGUAGCCUUCUCCCUCCCAAAAACAGGGUUUGGUGGGUCAUCAGUGCAAUUGUUAGUGUGGGACUAUGCAAUGUUCACAUUAUUAUUAUUAUUAUUAUUAUUAUUAUUAUUAUUAUUAUUAUUAUUAUUAUUAUUAUUAUUAUUAUCAAAUCAAGAGCACAUAAUUCCAAAUAUACACUGGUACAAAUAUACACAAAAUAAGGACACAUACACUGACAAGCAUUAUUUGUGUUAUUAGAAAGUAGAUUGAUCCAAAAGGUAACCACACACUCCUUAAUAAUCGCUUUGCCAAUCCUUUGAUUUGAAUAUAUAAAUCAGAUAGGUGAAAACGAGAUUUCUUUUCUUACAAAAGGUGAGGACCCAUAUGAUGAUGCUGUCAUUCAUAAACUAUUCCAUCCAAACCUCAAGCUACUCCUAGUUACCGAAGGGUGCAGAGGGUUGCAGAUAUUAUACCAAGCUCUUGGGAAGCCUUGGUGGCCUCUUCUCCAAAACUUGGAAACCAAAGAAGACACGAGCAAUAAUCGGCCCUGUUAUUGUUGGAGGAGGAGUGGAGGAAUACUUAUGGGAUCCUUUGCUCCAUAUCAAGCAUUUGCAAUCAGUGUUCCCAGUAGUAUGCAAGGCUAUGGGGAGGGUGCAGUUGGUGUUGGACAGUUGUGUCUGAGGUUGGAAUGUUAAAUUCAUCAAAGCAGACAAAUUGAAGUAGUCCAAACAUCUCUAGUUCAGAGGUGACUAGCAUGUAUUCAAGGGAAGGUUUUUUAUGGCUUUUCUGCCAAUCCUCUUGGAUCUUCGAUCCACUCUCUAGCAGACAUGAUAGGUAGUGAGCAUGGUAUCAUUAUGCCCACUAAAUGGGUUGCAGCAAUACCAGGUAACUGCUACAACCUUAAAAUUUGAUUUU